rnacentral:rRNA from 1 species
AACGAACGCUGGCGGCGCGCCUAAUACAUGCAAGUCGAGCGAGAAGACGUAGCAAUACGUUUGUAAAGCGGCGAACGGGUGAGGAAUACAUGGGUAACCUACCCUCGAGUGGGGAAUAACUAGCCGAAAGGUUAGCUAAUACCGCGUACGCUCCUUGGACUUCGGUUCAGGGAGGAAAGCGAUACCGUGGGUAUCGCGCUCUUGGAUGGGCUCAUGUCCUAUCAGCUUGNGGUGAGGUAACGGCUCACCAAGGCUUCGACGGGUAGCUGGUCUGAGAGGACGAUCAGCCACACUGGCACUGCGACACGGGCCAGACUCCUACGGGAGGCAGCAGUAAGGAAUAUUGCGCAAUGGGCGAAAG